AUUGAACGCUGGCGGCAUGCUUUACACAUGCAAGUCGAACGGUAACAGGCCUUCGGGUGCUGACGAGUGGCGAACGGGUGAGUAAUGCAUCGGAACGUGCCCAGAGGUGGGGGAUAACGCAGCGAAAGCUGUGCUAAUACCGCAUGUGAUCUGAGGAUGAAAGCGGGGGACCAGGCAGCAAUGUUUGGCCUCGCGCCUUUGGAGCGGCCGAUGUCAGAUUAGGUAGUUGGUGGGGUAAAGGCCUACCAAGCCGACGAUCUGUAGCUGGUCUGAGAGGACGACCAGACACACGGGGACUGAGAAACGGCACAGACUCCUACGGGAGGACGCAGUGGGGAAUUUUGGACAAUGGGGGCAAGCCUGAUCCAGCAAUGCCGCGUGAGGGAAGAAGGCCUUCGGGUGGUAAACCGCUUUUGUACGGAACGAAAAGGAUCUGGCUAAUACCUGGGGCUGAUGACGGUACCGUAAGAAUAAGCACCGGCUAACUACGUG
rnacentral:rRNA from 1 species